CAGCACCUCAAGUGGUCAGGAUGAUUAUUGGGCCUAAAGCAUCCGUAGCCGGCGCUGUAAGUUUUCGGUUAAAUCUGUACGCUCAACGUACGGGCUGCCGGGAAUACUGCAGCGCUAGGGAGUGGGAGAGGUAGACGGUACUCGGUAGGAAGGGGUAAAAUCCUUUGAUCUAUUGAUGACCACCUGUGGCGAAGGCGGUCUACCAGAACACGUCCGACGGUGAGGGAUGAAAGCUGGGGGAGCAAACCGGAUUAGAUACCCGCGUAGUCC
rnacentral:rRNA from 1 species